UACGUAGGGGGCUAGCGUUGUCCGGAUUUAUUGGGCGUAAAGAGCGUGUAGGCGGCCGGGUAAGUCCGGUGUGAAGACUCGAGGCUUAACCUCGAGAUGUCAUCGGAAACUAUUCGGCUAGAGUCCGGAAGAGGAGAGUGGAAUUCCUGGUGUAGCGGUGAAAUGCGCAGAUAUCAGGAAGAACACCCGUGGCGAAGGCGGAUCUCUGGGCCUGUUCUGACGCUGAGGCGCGAAAGCUAGGGGAGCGAACAGG
rnacentral:rRNA from 1 species